rnacentral:tRNA from 1 species
GGGCGAUUAGCUCAGUUGGUUAGAGCGCUUCAUUCACAUUGAAGAGGUCGUAGGUUCAAGUCCUAUAUCGCCCACCA